CACUUUGUAACCAAUUCAUAUAGAUCGUUUGUACAGAGAGACUUUUUGGGUGCUAAGAUCCAAAGUCGAGAUGGAAACAACCCAGACCAUACGCUAAGGUCCCUAAGCAAUCACUUAAAGGAAAAGGAAGUGAUCGAGCGAUGACAACCAGGAGGUGGGAUCGGAAGCAACCAUCCUUUGAAGAAAGCGUAAUAGCUCACUGGUCUAGCUCCAUGGCACCGAAAAUGUAGUAGGGCUCAAGUGAUUCAUCGAAGCGACGAGACCUUGAAAGCUGCUUUUUCAAGUGUCAGUAGCGGGACGUUAUGUCAACCGGGGAAAGUUUUUGGUGACAACACAUGGAGAUAUCAGAACUA
rnacentral:ncRNA from 1 species